rnacentral:rRNA from 1 species
GAUGAACGCUAGCGGCAGGCCUAAUACAUGCAAGUCAAGGGCCAGUAUGGCACCGGCGGACGGGUGCGUAACGCGUACACAACGUACCUUUGGGUGGGGGAUAGCAUCGGGAAACUGGUGGUAAUACCCCCAUGGUAUUGGAGACUGGCAUCAGUUUUCAAUUAAGACUACGCCCAAAGAUCGGUGUGCGUCUGAUUAGCUAGUUGGUAGGGUAACGGCCUACCAAGGCGACGAUCAGUAGGGGAUGUGAGAGCAUGAUCCCCCACACGGGUACUGAGACACGGACCCGACUCCUACGGGAGGCAGCAGUAAGGAAUAUUGGACAAUGGUCGGAAGACUGAUCCAGCCAUGCCGCGUGAAGGAUGAAGGCGCUCAGCGUUGUAAACUUCUUUUGUACGGGAACAAAAUGCGACCUGCGGGUUGUACUGAGGGUACCGUAAGAAUAAGCACCGGCUAACUCCGUG